AAAUUAGCGAGGAAAGAAGAUUCUUGUUAAAUUUAAUUCUAGUCUGGCAUUAUAAGAAGACAUAAAAAACUAUAGUAUAAGUGAGAUAUGGUAACAUCGCUGAUGAAAUAUCGAUUUCAUUUUUUUAGUUACUCGGUUGGAUGGAGCACGUAUUUCAGUAUUCUAGAACUAUUCUAAAGCGAGGACUUUAAUUGGUACAUCUGUCAAUAAAUAAGUAUUCCAGCACAAAGAAGAUAAAAACUUCGCAUAGAGCAAAAAAGCAAAAGAUUUAAUCUUGAUAUUUGACACCCACAAAAACUGGCCUAUUGAUUCUUUUGGCUUAAAUAGUUUUCAAUAAAAGAUGUCAAAAAAAUUAUCAUAAAGAUAAACUGGCUUUUGGCUAAGAUUUCAUAGCGAUAUCCUUCGAUAUCGAUUUUUUCUAUCAUUGCGAAACAGAAUUUUCCAAGCGUCAAAUUUACGUGAGAGCGUGAGCUAAGUCUAUUGAUGAUUAACUUGCAAUAGUAAUCCUGCUAAAUAU
rnacentral:ncRNA from 1 species